AGUGAACGCUGGCGGUAGGCCUAACACAUGCAAGUCGAACGGCAGCACAGUAAGUGCUUGCUCUUACGGGGUGCGAGUCGCGGACGGGUGAGGAAUACAUCGUAAUCUACUUUUUCGUGGGGAUAACGUAGGGGAACGUACGCUAAUCCCACAUACGACCUACGGAUGAAAGCAGGGGAUCUGCUGACCUUGCGUGACUACAUGAGCCGAUGUCGGAUUAGCUAGUUGGCGGGGUACAGGCGCACUACGGCGACGAUCCGUAGCUGGCUUGAGAGGAUGUUCAGCAACACUGGACUGGAGCACCGGCCAAGCUUCUUACGGGAGCAAGAAGAGGGGAAUAUUGGCCAUUGGGCGCAGGCUUGAUCCAGCCAUACCGCGUGGGUGAGGAAGGCCUUCGGGUUGUAAAGCCCGUUUGUUGGGAAAGACAAGCGGCAGGUUGAUACCCUGAUGUUCUGACGGUACCCAACGAGUAAGCACCGGCUAACUUCGUG
rnacentral:rRNA from 1 species